rnacentral:lncRNA from 1 species
UAUGCAAGAGAGACGAAGUGCAAAACAUGUGUGUGAGAAUUCAUUAACCAUGAGAAAUCCCUUAUUGUUGCUACCCUAAAUUUUUUCUAUAUGCGUUUUACUACCGGAAACGGUACUUCGAGUAAAUCUGGUAUUUAAAGAAGGGCUUUUCCAUAUAAGAUGAAAAAUAUUAAAUAGCGCAAAGCGAAAAGAGGUGUAAACAUGACUAUAGUCGCUAAUUAGUUUAUUUCAGGGAUUGUAACCAAAUAAAUCAUAUGUUGAGAGCAAGAAACAAUCUUCAUGUAGAAAGCAAAAAAAAGUUGUUUUGUGUGGUAAAAGAGUUAACAAAGCAAGCAUAAGUUGCAUGUUUGUAAAUAUUUAAUCACAUUUCUCUGCUUUGAUUUCAAAUUUACUAGGAAUUAUUUCCUGCUCCUGCGCAGUAAGCAACCGAGCAGACAAAAUAUCUCCCGGUACCACAGGACCAACGCCCUUUGGAGUACCUGUUAGCACCAAAUCACCAGGAUUCAAGGACAUGGCCUCAGUGAUUGACGAGAAUAUUUUAGGAAUCUUGUUUAACAUCAGAGAUGUACUGUCCUUCUGGACCACCUUGCCGUUAAGUGACAAUUCCAGAAUGACAUUGUGGGGAUCAGGUAUAAGAUGCUUAGGAAUGAUGGGGCCAACGGGUAAAAAGGUGUCAUAACCUUUCGCGAAGGACCAAGGGAGACCUUUUUUCUUCGCUUCAUUUUGUAUGUUUCUAGCGGUCAUAUCGAUUCCUACAAAGUAGGCUCCAAUUGAAUCGAGCCAGCUAUUGGAAGAUACUGGACGUCUGGCAGGCAGGCGAUCCUUCAUUAUCAAUCCUAGUUCAACUUCAUAAUGAGCAGAUACAUCGGGAGGAAUUAUUAAGUUUCCAUGGCCAGGUUCAACAAUGGCACUAGUAGGUUUAAGGAAAAAGAAAGGUUUGGUGGGGAAGGGGUUGUUCAACUCACGAAUGUGAGCACUAAAUAUAAAAUUAGUAUUCUACUUCAAAUGUAAAAUAAAAGUUUAAGAUCCUCGACAAUUCAGUGACGUUUUGGACCUUCAGCUUUUUUGAUUCCAAGUAACCAUAUCUUCGAAUCAUCAAUAAAUCUUGAACUUGUAACAACGUACGCAUAGUUUCUUCCAAUACAAACAACCUUGCCGGCCCGUGACAACAUGGUUGACAAUUUUAGUGAGUGACUGUAGUAUUCGAAAAAUAUGGGUAGCUUAUAAGUCCACGGACUUUAAAAUUUUUCAGGUUGACUGGCGGAUUGAAACUGUCUUACUAGGGUACAGCUUUCAACUUCGCUAUUUCUGUACCUAAAAUUAUAAAUAUGCAAAAUCAAAUAAAGUUGAUUCAAUCUGUUUAAUAGGUAAAAGCCUUAGCGAAAAAAAAUAGAUACACCGUUUCGGUAAUUAAAUAUUCCAAAAGACUCCCGCUAAGGAGUUUACUAAAUAGCGUCGGAAUUAGUUAACAGGCUUUUAUAGGAUUCGUAAAAUUCAUCGGAAUAAUUUGUGAAAAUCACAUCUGGUCCGCAUGGAUACCAAUGGGAAUUUGUGGUCAAGUUUAAAUUAUUCAAGUUUUUAAUUUCCGUCGUAUUGGAACAUGAAAAAAUUUUGGGAACAAUGGUAACCACAUAAGCAUCAAUGUCGGUAGACCCAAAAGCUUUGGCUAACAGCUCUGCUCCUCCCUCAACCAUGAUUCUGUUUACACCAUUUUGCAACAGCUUGUCGAGCGCCACAUAAUCCGACCAACUGUCAGGUGAAUCCUCGUUUCUAAUGAUACAGCGGCCUCCAACACUUUGAAUGAGCUUGACUGCUUCUUUUAGCUUGCUAUCGUGUUGAACCUGUUGCCAAAUACUUGGUGCAACGAUAAUUAAAGGUGGUUUCCCCAAACGCUCACGAGCCAGCCGAAUGACUUUAAGAGAUGCAUAAUCCAAGCGCAGAUUAGAAUCCACUAUAAUAGGAAUAGGCUGUUUGUUUAAAGGUAACAGGCAAUCAGGAUUAGCUGGAUCAGGAAGCUUUGCAGUUAAACUAGGAUUAUCGUUUUCAGCCGUUCUGCUGCCGACCAUGAUUCCAUCAAACUUGGUACGGAGCAAAUGGGUCAUCACGAACGACUCCUUCGAAGACAACCUGAGUUGUCCAAGAGAAGGCGAUUCCACGACAUAACCUAUUCGACCAUUGAUAGACUGAGCCCAUGUUAACAAGACAUGCUUUUUGUUAGCGGAAGGAGGAAAAUAAGCUUGAGAUGACUCCAUAGGGCAAAAAAUGUAAAUAAUUAAAACAAGUUUAUGUACUGCAAACUUUGAUGUUACAAUAUUUGAGCUUUUAUCGAGAGUUAACGUAGUCCGUCAAAGAUUAGGUCAA